rnacentral:rRNA from 1 species
AUGAACGCUGGCGGCGUGCCUAAUACAUGCAAGUCGAGCGCACAGAUGAGGAGCUUGCUCCUCUGACGUUAGCGGCGGACGGGUGAGUAACACGUGGAUAACCUACCUAUAAGACUGGGAUAACUUCGGGAAACCGGAGCUAAUACCGGAUAAUAUAUUGAACCGCAUGGUUCAAUAGUGAAAGACGGUUUUGCUGUCACUUAUAGAUGGAUCCGCGCCGCAUUAGCUAGUUGGUAAGGUAACGGCUUACCAAGGCGACGAUGCGUAGCCGACCUGAGAGGGUGAUCGGCCACACUGGAACUGAGACACGGUCCAGACUCCUACGGGAGGCAGCAGUAGGGAAUCUUCCGCAAUGGGCGAAAGCCUGACGGAGCAACGCCGCGUGAGUGAUGAAGGUCUUCGGAUCGUAAAACUCUGUUAUUAGGGAAGAACAAAUGUGUAAGUAACUAUGCACGUCUUGACGGUACCUAAUCAGAAAGCCACGGCUAACUACGUG